CCAGAGGGUCGGAUGGCCGCGCCUGUCGCAAGAUGGGUGAGGAAAGUCCGGGCUUCACGGAAACACGGUGCCGGGUAACACCCGGGCGGGGCGACCCGACGGACAGUGCAACAGAAAACAAACCGCCGAUGGAUCUUUCGGGAUCACAGGUAAGGGCGAAACGGUGCGGUAAGAGCGCACCGCGGACCUGGUAACAGGGACGGCAUGGCAAACCCCACCGGACGCAAGACCGAAUAGGGGCCGCAUAUGGUGCGUUUCCGCAUCGCGGCCCGGGUUGGUUGCUUGAGGUGCGUGGUAACACGCAUCCCAGAUGAAUGGCCAUCAUCCAUCUUCGGAUGGAUACAGAACCCGGCUUACAGACGCUCUGGUUUU
rnacentral:RNase_P_RNA from 2 species